UGGGGAAUAUUGCACAAUGGGCGCAAGCCUGAUGCAGCCAUGCCGCGUGUAUGAAGAAGGCCUUCGGGUUGUAAAGUACUUUCAGCGAGGAGGAAGGCGUUGUGGUCAUAAUACCGCAGCGAUUGACGUUACUCGCAGAAGAAGCACCGGCUAACUCCGUGCCAGCAGCCGCGGUAAUACGGAGGGUGCAAGCGUUAAUCGGAAUUACUGGGCGUAAAGCGCACGCAGGCGGUCUGUCAAGUCGGAUGUGAAAUCCCCGGGCUCAACCUGGGAACUGCAUCCGAAACUGGCAGGCUAGAGUCUUGUAGAGGGGGGUGGAAUUCCAGGUGUAGCGGUGAAAUGCGUAGAGAUCUGGAGGAAUACCGGUGGCGAAGGCGGCCCCCUGGACAAAGACUGACGCUCAGGUGCGAAAGCGUGGGGAGCAAACA
rnacentral:rRNA from 1 species